rnacentral:rRNA from 1 species
AGUGAACGCUGGCGGUAGGCCUAACACAUGCAAGUCGAACGGCAGCACAGUAAGAGCUUGCUCUUACGGGUGGCGAGUGGCGGACGGGUGAGGAAUACAUCGGAAUCUACUUUUUCGUGGGGGAUAACGUAGGGAAACUUACGCUAAUACCGCAUACGACCUACGGGUGAAAGCAGGGGAUCUCCGGACCUUGCGCGUUGGAAGGAGCCGAUGUCGGAUUAGCUAGUUGGCGGGGUAAAGGCCCACCAAGGCGACGAUCCGUAGCUGGUCUGAGAGGAUGAUCAGCCACACUGGAACUGAGACACGGUCCAGACUCCUACGGGAGGCAGCAGUGGGGAAUAUUGGACAAUGGGCGCAAGCCUGAUCCAGCCAUACCGCGUGGGUGAAGAAGGCCUUCGGGUUGUAAAGCCCUUUUGUUGGGAAAGAAAAGCAGCAGGUUAAUACCCCGCUGUUCUGACGGUACCCAAAGAAUAAGCACCGGCUAACUUCGUG